GCCUGGGUGGCUUGGUCGGUUAAGCGUCUGACUUCGGCUCAGGUCAUGAUCUCACGGUCUGUGAGUUCGAGCCCCGCGUCGGGCU
rfam:Felis catus isolate Cinnamon breed Abyssinian chromosome X, whole genome shotgun sequence.